rnacentral:lncRNA from 1 species
GGAUACAGUCAAGACUAGGAGCAACAAAAGUUUUGAACCUCUUCUUGAAAGACUUGAGACUAGUAGAAGGACAAGAAGAAAUAGAUUAUCUAGAGAACCUUCUCUGGAGAAAAUUUCACAGGCCUCAAAAUCUUAUCAGGGAAGCAUGGACAACAAUGGUGGAUUGCGUACUUUGACAAAUUAUGCAAUAGUUGUUGGCCCUCACCAUUUUAACAGCAUUGUAAAGUUGAGGGUCAAUGCCACAAGUAUGGAGAUGAAG